rnacentral:rRNA from 1 species
AUUGAACGCUGGCGGCAUGCUUUACACAUGCAAGUCGAACGGUAACAGGGUGCUUGCCCCGCUGACGAGUGGCGAACGGGUGAGUAAUGCAUCGGAAUGUACCGUGUAAUGGGGGAUAGCUCGGCGAAAGCCGGAUUAAUACCGCAUACGCCCUGAGGGGGAAAGUGGGGGACCGAAAGGCCUCACGUUAUACGAGCAGCCGAUGUCUGAUUAGCUAGUUGGUGAGGUAAAGGCUUACCAAGGCGUCGAUCAGUAGCGGGUCUGAGAGGAUGAUCCGCCACACUGGGACUGAGACACGGCCCAGACUCCUACGGGAGGCAGCAGUGGGGAAUUUUGGACAAUGGGCGCAAGCCUGAUCCAGCCAUGCCGCGUGUCUGAAGAAGGCCUUCGGGUUGUAAAGGACUUUUGUCCGGGAGCAAAUCCUAGUGGUUAAUACCUACUGGGGCUGAGAGUACCGGAAGAAUAAGCACCGGCUAACUACGUG